rnacentral:rRNA from 1 species
UACGUAGGCAGCGAGCGUUGUUCGGAGUUACUGGGCGUAAAGAGUGCGUAGGCGGUUUUCUAAGUUUGGUGUGAAAUCUCCCGGCUUAACUGGGAGGGUGCGCCGAAAACUGGAAGGCUUGAGUAUGGGAGAGGUAAGCGGAAUUCCUGGUGUAGCGGUGAAAUGCGUAGAUAUCAGGAGGAACACCGGUGGCGCAGGCGGGGCUCUGGGCCGUAACUGACGCUGAGGAGCGAAAGCAUGGGGAGCGAACAGG